rnacentral:rRNA from 1 species
UACGUAGGUGGCAAGCGUUGUCCGGAAUUAUUGGGCGUAAAGCGCGCGCAGGCGGUCCUUUAAGUCUGAUGUGAAAGCCCACGGCUCAACCGUGGAGGGUCAUUGGAAACUGGGGGGACUUGAGUGCAGAAGAGGAAAGUGGAAUUCCACGUGUAGCGGUGGAAAUGCGUAGAGAUGUGGAGGAACACCAGUGGCGAAGGCGACUUUCUGGUCUGUAACUGACGCUGAGGCGCCGAAAGCGUGGGGAGCAAACAGG